AUUGAAUGCUGGCGGCAGGCCUAACACAUGCAAGUCGAACGAGUGGCGGACGGGUGAGUAAUGUCUGGGAAACUGCCUGAUGGAGGGGGAUAACUACUGGAAACGGUAGCUAAUACCGCAUACCAUCGGAUGUGCCCAGCUGGGAUUAGCUAGUAGGUGGGGUAAAGGCUCACCUAGGCGACGAUCCCUAGCUGGUCUGAGAGGAUGACCAGCCACACUGGAACUGGGAAACGGUCCAGACUCCUACGGUAGGCAUCAGUGGGGAAUAUUGCACAAGGGGCGCAAGCCUGAGACAGCAAUGCCGGGUGUAUGAAGAAGGCCUUCGGGUUGUAAAGUACUUUCAGCGGGGAGGCGUUACCCGCAGAAGAAGCACCGGCUAACUCCGUGCCAGCAGCCGCGGUAAUAC
rnacentral:rRNA from 1 species